UCGGGAUUGCAGAGGUUCGCAAACAUAACGCGUCCACAGCCUUGCACCUGUUGAACAUCUGCUAAGUGCGCAGGACAGAAGGAAAUGUGGUUCAUCAAGCAGGACUUCAGACAUUGUGAAGCCAUGCUGUCUGUGGGCAAUAUUUGAAGAUGACACAGACAACCAAAGCUGUGAAGGAAGCUAAGUACUGGAGACCUGGUUACGUCUUGCUGAAUCAGAAGAGAAUUUGAAGUAAUAAGUCCACUGGAUAACAGCAGCAUGCAUAAGAUGGAGAUCACCAGGAGGGGGCCUAUUCCACAUAGGCUUUUGUGUGAAGUAGAAGAGGACUCUUUUCACCCUUUUGGGAAAACGGGGCUGCUAUGCACAAAAUAUGAAAGGCUGAGUGACAGAGGAAGAGCAUGAGUCCCUGGUCUAGUGGUAAAUCUUAGAGAUGAGAGACAUAGUUUGGGUGCCAGUUUCCAUGGUCAUGCCUAUAUUUUAACUAUAUCACCUAAAAUACAGAUAUUGUCCUCAGAGCAAAAAUCAGAAAUCAGAACUCCUACCAAGCUAAGCCACUUACCCACUUAAACUACUGAACUGUGUUUUGCUCCAUAAACUUUGAAGUCUUAUCAGUGUACAUUUGUAUAUUUACCCAGAUUGGUUUUGUCUGGUGGUAGGACAUUUUUCUCAAAGGGAGGACAUACAACUCUGGAUCAUCUCAUAAACAAGAGGGAACUAAACUUGGUUGACUCUGCCAAGGUUAUGAAGAACAGCUAAUCACAACCUCGUGAUCUGUGAGUGCAUACCAGAGCAAGCCUAAAAGCCAGUGGAAAUUGCAAUGUGUGUGCUUCAGUACAAUCAAUUUUGUUUGUUGUUUUAGUGGCUUGAUUCCUGUUUGCAGCAAUCAAACAAUACAGCAAUAUUACACAAAGUAAAUCAAUGGGGUGAUAAUGUAGCUGAUUAGUGUACUUAUAGACUUGCCUGUGACUAUGUCUAGCACACACCAUAUCACACAAUGCAGUGUUCUUAAUUUUUAUUUCCCUUUGGAUGAAGGUUGACAUAACUCACAGGUACUAGCAAAUCCCACCAUGCUACAAAAUGUAACAUUUAUAAGAGAUACAUAUGGUACAUAUUUAUACUGAGCAAA